rnacentral:rRNA from 1 species
AAUGGCGCAUGCUUACCAUGCAAGUCGACGGCAGCACGGGUGCUUGCACCUGGUGGCGAGUGGCGAACGGGUGAGUAAUACAUCGGAAUGUACCUUGUAGUGGGGGAUAGCUCGGCGAAAGCCGGAUUAAUACCGCAUACGCUCUGAGGAGGAAAGCGGGGGACCUUCGGGCCUCGCGCUACAAGAGCAGCCGAUGUCAGAUUAGCUUGUUGGUGAGGUAAAAGCUCACCAAGGCGACGAUCUGUAGCUGGUCUGAGAGGACGACCAGCCACACUGGGACUGAGACACGGCCCAGACUCCUACGGGAGGCAGCAGUGGGGAAUUUUGGACAAUGGGCGAAAGCCUGAUCCAGCAAUGCCGCGUGUGUGAAGAAGGCCUUCGGGUUGUAAAGCACUUUUGUCCGGAAAGAAAUCCUCUGGGUUAAUACCUCGGGGGGAUGACGGUACCGGAAGAAUAAGCACCGGCUAACUACGUGCCAGCAGCCGCGGUAAUACGUAGGGUGCAAGCGUUAAUCGGAAUUACUGGGCGUAAAGCGUGCGCAGGCGGUUUUGUAAGACGGAUGUGAAAUCCCCGGGCUUAACCUGGGAACUGCAUUCGUGACUGCAAGGCUAGAGUAUGGCAGAGGGGGGUAGAAUUCCACGUGUAGCAGUGAAAUGCGUAGAGAUGUGGAGGAAUACCGAUGGCGAAGGCAGCCCCCUGGGCCAAUACUGACGCUCAUGCACGAAAGCGUGGGGGAGCAAACAGGAUUAGAUACCCUGGUAGUCCACGCCCUAAACGAUGUCAACUAGUUUGUUGGGGGAUUCAUUUCCUUAGUAACGAAGCUAACGCGUGAAGUUGACCGCCUGGGGGAGUACGGUCGCAAGAUUAAACUCAGCGAUUUUUUCUCUC